AUACGAACCGUACGAACGUUAUUCGGAAUCACUGGGCUUAAAGAGUGCGUAGGCGGCUUGGAAAGUUGGGUGUGAAAUCCCUCGGCUCAACCGAGGAAUUGCGCCCAAAACUGUCAAGCUUGAGGGAGAUAGAGGUAAGCGGAACUAAUGGUGGAGCGGUGAAAUGCGUUGAUAUCAUUAGGAACACCUGAGGCGAAAGCAGCUUACUGGGUCUCUUCUGACGCUGAGGCACGAAAGCUAGGGGAGCGAACGGGAUUAGAUACCCCUGUAGUCC
rnacentral:rRNA from 1 species